rnacentral:rRNA from 1 species
GUACACUCCUGCGGGAGGCAGCAGUGAGGAAUAUUGGACAAUGGGUGGAAGCCUGAUCCAGCCAUCCCGCGUGCAGGAAGACGGCCCUAUGGGUUGUAAACUGCUUUUAUCUGGGGAUAAACCUACUUACGUGUAAGUAGCUGAAGGUACCAGAAGAAUAAGCACCGGCUAACUCCGUGCCAGCAGCCGCGGUAAUACGGAGGGUGCAAGCGUUAUCCGGAUUUAUUGGGUUUAAAGGGUCCGUAGGCGGACUGAUAAGUCAGUGGUGAAAUCCGACAGCUUAACUGUCGAACUGCCAUUGAUACUGUUAGUCUUGAGUAAGGUUGAAGUGGCUGGAAUAAGUAGUGUAGCGGUGAAAUGCAUAGAUAUUACUUAGAACACCAAUUGCGAAGGCAGGUCACUAAGUCUUAACUGACGCUGAUGGACGAAAGCGUGGGGAGCGAACAGGAUUAGAAACCCUAGUAGUCCC